GGGACUAGGUGAUUUGGGGGCGGGGCGGAGGAAGGAUACAAGCCUGACGCAAUCCUCCGCCCCGCCCCCAAAUCACCUAGUCCCAGUCUUUUCAU